CCUACGGGUGGCUGCAGUGGGGAAUCUUGCGCAAUGGGCGAAAGCCUGACGCAGCCAUGCCGCGUGAAUGAUGAAGGUCUUAGGAUUGUAAAAUUCUUUCAGUAGGGACGAUAAUGACGGUACCUACAGAAGAAGCCCCGGCUAACUUCGUGCCAGCAGCCGCGGUAAUACGAAGGGGGCUAGCGUUGCUCGGAAUUACUGGGCGUAAAGGGAGCGUAGGCGGACAUUUAAGUCAGGGGUGAAAUCCCGGGGCUCAACCUCGGAAUUGCCUUUGAUACUGGGUGUCUUGAGUAUGAGAGAGGUAUGUGGAACUCCGAGUGUAGAGGUGAAAUUCGUAGAUAUUCGGAAGAACACCAGUGGCGAAGGCGACAUACUGGCUCAUUACUGACGCUGAGGCUCGAAAGCGUGGGGAGCAAACAGGAUUAGAUACCCAUGUAGUC
rnacentral:rRNA from 1 species